GCCAGCCCGCUCAGAAACUACAAAGGAAUUGACGGGGCCCGGCACAAGCGGAGGAGCAUGUGGUUUAAUUUCGAUGAUACGCGAGGAACCUUACCUGGGCUCGAACGUAAGAUGACUGUAGGUGAAAGCUUACAUCUCUUCGGAGCAUUUUACGAGGUGCUGCAUGGUUGUCGUCAGCUCGUGCCGUGAGGUGUCGGGUUAAGUCCCAUAACGAGCGCAACCCCUACCUUUAGUUGCCAUCAGGUUAAGCUGGGGACUCUAAAGGAACUGCCUACGCAAGUAGUGAGGAAGGCGGGGAUGACGUCAAAUCAGCACGGCCCUUACGUCCAGGGCUACACACGUGCUACAAUGGCCGAUACAGAGGGCAGCUACCUGGUGACAGGAUGCAAAUCUCCAAAGUCGGUCUCAGUUCGGAUCGGAGUCUGCAACCCGACUCCGUGAAGUUGGAUUCGCUAGUAAUCGCGCAUCAGCCAUGGCGCGGUGAAUACGUUCCCGGGCCUU
rnacentral:rRNA from 1 species